rnacentral:rRNA from 1 species
AACGCGAAGAACCUUACCUACUCUUGACAUCCAGAGAACUUUCCAGAGAUGGAUUGGUGCCUUCGGGAACUCUGAGACAGGUGCUGCAUGGCUGUCGUCAGCUCGUGUUGUGAAAUGUUGGGUUAAGUCCCGCAACGAGCGCGACCCUUAUCCUUUGUUGCCAGCGGUUCGGCCGGGAACUCAAAGGAGACUGCCAGUGAUAAACUGGAGGAAGGUGGGGAUGACGUCAAGUCAUCAUGGCCCUUACGAGUAGGGCUGCACACGUGCUACAAUGGCGUAUACAAAGAGAAGCGACCUCGCGAGAGCAAGCGGACCUCAUAAAGUACGUCGUAGUCCGGAUUGGAGUCUGCAACUCGACUCCAUGAAGUCGGAAUCGCUAGUAAUCGUAGAUCAGAAUGCUACGGUGAAUACGUUCCCGGGCCUUGUACACACCGA